UUUAUGUUUUAUAUAAGGUACUUUGUAUUGUCUUGUACACAAAAUUUGCUAUACAAAUAAACUUGCCUUGCCUAA